CCUACGGGAGGCAGCAGUGGGGAAUAUUGCACAAUGGGGGAAACCCUGAUGCAGCGACGCCGCGUGAGUGAAGAAGUAUUUCGGUAUGUAACGCUCUAUCAGCAGGGACGAAAAUGACGGUACCUGACUAAGAAGCCCCGGCUAACUACGUGCCAGCAGCCGCGGUAAUACGUAGGGGGCAAGCGUUAUCCGGGUUUCCUGGGUGUAAAGGGUGCGUAGGCGGCAUGAUAAGUCAGAAGUGAAAACCCGGGGCUCAACCCCGCGGAUUGCUUUUGAAACUAACAGGCUGGAGUGCUGGAGAGGUAAGCGGAAUUCCUAGUGUAGCGGUGAAAUGCGUAGAUAUUAGGAGGAACACCAGUGGCGAAGGCGGCUUACUGGACAGAAACUGACGUUGAGGCUCGAAAGCGUGGGGAGCAAACAGGAUUAGAUACCCGAGUAGUC
rnacentral:rRNA from 1 species